AAACCAACAGGGAUUGCCCUAGUAACGGCGAGUGAAGCGGCAACAGCUCAAAUUUGAAAUCUGGCUUUCGGGCCCGAGUUGUAAUUUGUAGAGGAUACUUUUGAUGCGGUGCCUUCCGAGUUCCCUGGAACGGGACGCCAUAGAGGGUGAGAGCCCCGUCUGGUUGGAUGCCAAAUCUCUGUAAAGUUCCUUCGACGAGUCGAGUAGUUUGGGAAUGCUGCUCUAAAUGGGAGGUAUAUGUCUUCUAAAGCUAAAUAUUGGCCAGAGACCGAUAGCGCACAAGUAGAGUGAUCGAAAGAUGAAAAGCACUUUGAAAAGAGAGUUAAAAAGUACGUGAAAUUGUUGAAAGGGAAGCGUUUAUGACCAGACUUGGACUUGGUUAAUCAUCUGGGGUUCUCCCCAGUGCACUUUUCCAGUUCAGGCCAGCAUCAGUUUUCCCCGGGGGAUAAAGACUUUGGGAACGUGGCUCCCUUCGGGGAGUGUUAUAGCCCAUUGUGUAAUACCCUGGGGGGGACUGAGGUUCGCGCAUCUGCAAGGAUGCUGGCGUAAUGGUCAUCAACGAC
rnacentral:rRNA from 1 species